rnacentral:rRNA from 1 species
CGGAAAAUCAAGGCUGAGGCGUGAUGACGAGGCACUACGGUGCUGAAGCAACAAAUGCCCUGCUUCCAGGAAAAGCCUCUAAGCAUCAGGUAACAUCAAAUCGUACCCCAAACCGACACAGGUGGUCAGGUAGAGAAUACCAAGGCGCUUGAGAGAACUCGGGUGAAGGAACUAGGCAAAAUGGUGCCGUAACUUCGGGAGAAGGCACGCUGAUAUGUAGGUGAAGUCCCUCGCGGAUGGAGCUGAAAUCAGUCGAAGAUACCAGCUGGCUGCAACUGUUUAUUAAAAACACAGCACUGUGCAAACACGAAAGUGGACGUAUACGGUGUGACGCCUGCCCGGUGCCGGAAGGUUAAUUGAUGGGGUUAGCCGCAAGGCGAAGCUCUUGAUCGAAGCCCCGGUAAACGGCGGCCGUAACUAUAACGGUCCUAAGGUAGCGAAAUUCCUUGUCGGGUAAGUUCCGACCUGCACGAAUGGCGUAAUGAUGGCCAGGCUGUCUCCACCCGAGACUCAGUGAAAUUGAACUCGCUGUGAAGAUGCAGUGUACCCGCGGCAAGACGGAAAGACCCCGUGAACCUUUACUAUAGCUUGACACUGAACAUUGAGCCUUGAUGUGUAGGAUAGGUGGGAGGCUUUGAAGUGUGGACGCCAGUCUGCAUGGAGCCGACCUUGAAAUACCACCCUUUAAUGUUUGAUGUUCUAACGUUGACCCGUAAUCCGGGUUGCGGACAGUGUCUGGUGGGUAGUUUGACUGGGGCGGUCUCCUCCUAAAGAGUAACGGAGGAGCACGAAGGUUGGCUAAUCCUGGUCGGACAUCAGGAGGUUAGUGCAAUGGCAUAAGCCAGCUUGACUGCGAGCGUGACGGCGCGAGCAGGUGCGAAAGCAGGUCAUAGUGAUCCGGUGGUUCUGAAUGGAAGGGCCAUCGCUCAACGGAUAAAAGGUACUCCGGGGAUAACAGGCUGAUACCGCCCAAGAGUUCAUAUCGACGGCGGUGUUUGGCACCUCGAUGUCGGCUCAUCACAUCCUGGGGCUGAAGUAGGUCCCAAGGGUAUGGCUGUUCGCCAUUUAAAGUGGUACGCGAGCUGGGUUUAGAACGUCGUGAGACAGUUCGGUCCCUAUCUGCCGUGGGCGCUGGAGAACUGAGGGGGGCUGCUCCUAGUACGAGAGGACCGGAGUGGACGCAUCACUGGUGUUCGGGUUGUCAUGCCAAUGGCACUGCCCGGUAGCUAAAUGCGGAAGAGAUAAGUGCUGAAAGCAUCUAAGCACGAAACUUGCC